GGGGGGGGGGGGGGGCGGGGGGGGCGGGGGGGGGGGGGGCGGGGGGGGGGGUGUCGGGUGGCGGGCGGGUGAGUAACGCGUGAGCGGCUGCCCUUGGGGGGGGGACAACACCUGGCAACGGUUGCUGCUGCCCGGUCGUCUUGGGAGCACCCGGAGGAAUCCGCCCGAGGAGGGGCGUGCGUCUGAUUAGCUCGUUGGGGAGGUACUAGCUGACCAAUGCGAUGCUCAGUAGCUGGUCCGAGAGGAUGAUCAGCCACACUGGGACUGAGACACGGCCCAGACGCCGACGGGAGGCAGCAGUGGGGAAUUUUCCGCAAUGGGCGAAAGCCUGACGGAGCAAUGCCGCGUGGAGGUAGAAGGCCCACGGGUCGUGAACUUCUUUUCUCGGAGAAGAAACAAUGACGGUAGCUGAGGAAUAAGCAUCGGCUAACUCGGUG
rnacentral:rRNA from 1 species